GCCCUCAGUGUCCUCGGUGCCGGCCGCUGCCGCCGCGCCGUUCGUGCGUCAUCCGACCCCACCGACCGCCGCCGCCGCCGCCUCGGCGCUCCAUGGAUACGUGCCAACCCUGCAGCCGGACAGGUGCUGGCAGAGGUGCAGCUCCAACUCGAGACGAUCGAACUUCUGCAGAGCUCGGUACGGCUGCCCUCUGCCAGAGGCGCCACAUCCGGUGACGCGGCCCGGUCAUACCCCUCGCCUCGCAUGGAGAGGACGGCGGGGAGAGCGGCGGAGCGGCGGCAGAGUGCGCGGAGAGAGCCGGACAGGGC